rnacentral:rRNA from 1 species
GUGGGGAAUCUUGCGCAAUGGGCGAAAGCCUGACGCAGCCAUGCCGCGUGGAUGAUGAAGGUCUUAGGAUUGUAAAAUCCUUUCACCGGUGAAGAUAAUGACUGUAGCCGGAGAAGAAGCCCCGGCUAACUUCGUGCCAGCAGCCGCGGUAAUACGAAGGGGGCUAGCGUUGCUCGGAUUUACUGGGCGUAAAGGGCGCGUAGGCGGACAUUUAAGUCAGGGGUGAAAUCCCGGGGCGCAACCUCGGAACUGCCUUUGAUACUGGGUGUCUUGAGUAUGAGAGAGGUGUGUGGAACUCCGAGUGUAGAGGUGAAAUUCGUAGAUAUUCGGAAGAACACCAGUGGCGAAGGCGACUCACUGGCCCAAUACUGACACUGAGGCGCGAAAGCGUGGGGAGCAAACAGGAUUAGAAACCCGAGUAGUCC